rnacentral:lncRNA from 1 species
UUGUUCUUCUCGUAGUGAGUUUUUUAAAUUAUAUAAACUAUCACAUGUACUUUUAUCUAAAUUUUCUAAGGUUUUUUCUAUCCAUACUAAUUUUUCUUUUAGGUCUUUCAUUAUUUGUCUAAUUCGGUUUCUAUAAUUAAUUUCAUUAUUUAGAUUUUCUUGAUUUUCUCUAGUUUGUCUAAUAUAUUCUAACAUAUCUUAAUCUGAAUAAUAUCCUUCUGGGUAAAUUUCUUCG